AGGGUCUGUUACCUCACUGCUAAUUUCCCUAGCAAAUAAACCAGCAGCUGCUGGUCCAAGUUACCACCGAGAACAGGGCACUGCAUGCAUGGGACAGGAUGCUUUCAUGGAGCCCUUCGGUGACACACUUGGGGUCUUUCAGUGCAAAAUAUACCUCCUUCUCUUCGGUGCUUGCUCGGGGCUGAAGGUGACAGUGCCAUCACACACUGUCCAUGGCGUCAGAGGUCAGGCCCUCUACCUACCCGUCCACUAUGGCUUCCACACUCCAGCAUCAGACAUCCAGAUCAUAUGGCUAUUUGAGAGACCCCACACGAUGCCCAAAUACUUACUGGGCUCUGUGAAUAAGUCUGUGGUUCCUGACUUGGAAUACCAACACAAGUUCACCAUGAUGCCACCCAAUGCAUCUCUGCUUAUCAACCCACUGCAGUUCCCUGAUGAAGGCAAUUACAUCGUGAAGGUCAACAUUCAGGGAAAUGGAACUCUAUCUGCCAGUCAGAAGAUACAAGUCACGGUUGAUGAUCCUGUCACAAAGCCAGUGGUGCAGAUUCAUCCUCCCUCUGGGGCUGUGGAGUAUGUGGGGAACAUGACCCUGACAUGCCAUGUGGAAGGGGGCACUCGGCUAGCUUACCAAUGGCUAAAAAAUGGGAGACCUGUCCACACCAGCUCCACCUACUCCUUUUCUCCCCAAAACAAUACCCUUCAUAUUGCUCCAGUAACCAAGGAAGACAUUGGGAAUUACAGCUGCCUGGUGAGGAACCCUGUCAGUGAAACGGAAAGUGAUAUCAUUAUGCCCAUCAUAUAUUAUGGACCUUAUGGACUUCAAGUGAAUUCUGAUAAAGGGCUAAAAGUAGGGGAAGUGUUUACUGUUGACCUUGGAGAGGCCAUCCUAUUUGAUUGUUCUGCUGAUUCUCAUCCUCCCAACACCUACUCCUGGAUUAGGAGGACUGACAAUACUACAUAUAUCAUUAAGCAUGGGCCUCGCUUAGAAGUUGCAUCUGAGAAAGUAGCCCAGAAGACAAUGGACUAUGUGUGCUGUGCUUACAACAACAUAACCGGCAGGCAAGAUGAAACUCAUUUCACAGUUAUCAUCACUUCCGUAGGACUGGAGAAGCUUGCACAGAAAGGAAAAUCAUUGUCACCUUUAGCAAGUAUAACUGGAAUAUCACUAUUUUUGAUUAUAUCCAUGUGUCUUCUCUUCCUAUGGAAAAAAUAUCAACCCUACAAAGUUAUAAAACAGAAACUAGAAGGCAGGCCAGAAACAGAAUACAGGAAAGCUCAAACAUUUUCAGGCCAUGAAGAUGCUCUGGAUGACUUCGGAAUAUAUGAAUUUGUUGCUUUUCCAGAUGCUUCUGGUGUUUCCAGGUACUGCCAGCUUUCUUCUUAAAUGAAGAAAAAAUCCAUAGCUUUGUCAAGCUAUCCUUCUUCUGACCUUAUAGCUAUGCUGCUGCGCAAACUGCCAUAGGAUCCCAAGCAGGUCUGUUCCAGCCUCUGAUUGUGUAUCGGGGCAAGAUUUGCACAGUACAGUGUAUGAAGUUAUUCAGCACAUCCCUGCCCAGCAGCAAGACCAUCCAGAGUGAACUUUCAUGGGCUAAACAGUACAUUUGAGUGAAAUUCUGAAGAAACAUUUUAAGGAAAAACAGUGGAAAAGUAUAUUAAUCUGGAAUCAGUGAAGAAACCAAGACCAACACCUCUUCCUCAUUAUUCCUUUACAUGCAGAAUAGAGGCAUUUAUGCAAAUUGAACUGCAGGUUUUUCGGCAUAUACACAACGUCUUGUGCAACAGAAAAACAUGUUGGGGAAAUAUUCCUCAGUGGAGAGUCGUUCUCAUGCUGACGGGGAGAACGAAAGUGACAGGGGUUUCCUCAUAACGUUUGUAUGAAAUAUCUCUACAAACCUCAAUUAGUUCUACUCUACACUUUCACUAUCAUCAACACUGAGACUAUCCUGUCUCACCUACAAAUGUGGAAACUUUACGUUGUUCGAUUUUUCAGCAGACUUUGUUUUAUUAAAUUUUUAUUAGUGUUAAGAAUGCUAAAUUUAUGUUUCAAUUUUAUUUCCAAAUUUCUAUCUUGUUAUUUGUACAACAAAGUAAUAAGGAUGGUUGUCACAAAAACAAAACUAUGCCUUCUCUUUUUUUUCAAUCACCAGUAGUAUUUUUGAGAAGACUUGUGAACACUUAAGGAAAUGACUAUUAAAGUCUUAUUUUUAUUUUUUUCAAGGAAAGAUGGAUUCAAAUAAAUUAUUCUGUUUUUGCUUUUA